rnacentral:rRNA from 1 species
AGUGAACGCUGGCGGUAGGCCUAACACAUGCAAGUCGAACGGCAGCACAGUAAGAGCUUGCUCUUACGGGUGGCGAGUGGCGGACGGGUGAGGAAUACAUCGGAAUCUACUUUUUCGUGGGGGAUAACGUAGGGAAACUUACGCUAAUACCGCAUACGACCUACGGGUGAAAGCAGGGGAUCUUCGGACCUUGCGCGAUUGAAUGAGCCGAUGUCGGAUUAGCUAGUUGGCGGGGUAAAGGCCCACCAAGGCGACGAUCCGUAGCUGGUCUGAGAGGAUGAUCAGCCACACUGGAACUGAGACACGGUCCAGACUCCUAAGGGAGGCAGCAGUGGGGAAUAUUGGACAAUGGGCGCAAGCCUGAUCCAGCCAUACCGCGUGGGUGAAGAAGGCCUUCGGGUUGUAAAGCCCUUUUGUUGGGAAAGAAAAGCAGCAGGUUAAUACCCCGCUGUUCUGACGGUACCCAAAGAAUAAGCAACGGCUAACUUCGUG